UCUUUUAAUCGUUAUCCUGUUAUAUUGAACAGUAUAUUGAAACCUAGUUUCGAUAGCCUCUGGUGUGUUGUGUCUUCCUGGUAUAAAGGACACACGUUCUAAGGAGUGGUGAAAGUCUUUGAUACUCUGUCUAUGGUAAGUUAGCUUAUUUAUAAUUGAGGAUUUUCUUAUAACAAUUUAAUUUUUAUUUUCUUUGAGUUAAAACACAGUCUUCACCAAUCCAAUUUCAGUUAAUUCUUCAGUUAAUUUUCUUGGGCGGUACCCAGGACUUCUUUUCUCCACUUGAUUAAUCUUUUUACAAGUUUUGUAAGGAUAAAUCGUUAAUCAAAACUUACUCGUUGAUGGCUUUCCCAACAAAUGAUGACGUCAUCUUAUAUUUCUGCCGAAUUAGUGUUUUUUAAAUUUUAUAUUAUAACAUGCUUCCGCAAAAAAUCCAAUUUUAUAACAAUAACAAAAUUUGUCCGUCAUUUUACAAUUUUGCCGAAUAAAUGUUCUUCAAAUUUAUGAGUGUUUGGGGAAAACUGCGUCUGGUUGAUUAAUCAAUCAGCCCUCUUUUCUACGUUGAGGAGACAAAAUCAAACAAAUUUCAUUUCCUUUUAACCGCUGUUGCUUGUAAACUAAACGUGCUAAUAGUGGAAUUCUUUCGAAAUAUAAACAUAAACAGUCGAAGUUAAGCAUAUACUGACCAAAUGAGAAUUCGUAGAUUUUUUCCUGUUGGUAUCUGCUUCAAAUUUAUCUCAUAUUGUCCACGCUUUCCGGAUUACGCAAAAUCAAAUUUUAUAAGUUUUUAUAGAAGUGGGAUUUGUCAAACUAUACUUUUUAAGGGCGAAGGAAUUUCUGUCGAAAAAUGUUUUUGUUUAUUUUAUUAAUCAAACCAAGAACGGUUUAUUAUUAAUAUUACACCGUGCCUACACAAAUUGAUAUUUACAUUGACACAACCUGAAUGACAUUUCAAAAUUUUAUAAUGGAAAACUAUGUUACUUUAAAAUUUCAGAAAUAUAUUUGUAACUCAAGAAUAUGCCUAUAUCCUUCAUCUGUCUUAAAAUAGUGUGAAGAGUUGUAUUAUCUUAAUUAAUUUAUUUAACAUCUACCAAAAUAUGUCAAAUUCGCUCAAAUUCAGAGACUGUAUAAAUAAACUAAAAACAAAUUUUAAUUGGAAAUCAAAAGUUGUUUUUGAGAUUUUAUGUUUCACAUUUGUCGCAAAAUAGCUACAUGCAACAUAAGUCAAUCACUUUCUUUUAUGAAUACAUAUUUAAAUUGAGUAAACUAAUUUGACAUGACGAUUUCUUUUAUAUAUAUUUUCUUCAUUGUUUCUUCUAAUGACACAAAAUUUUAACUUUGGAUAAAUUAUUUUUCAUAGUAUCCCAAAUUUUAAUUACUUGACCACAUAAAUGCAAACUCGAUCGGUAAUUUUUUUAUGAUAAUUUUUCAACUGUAUUUCCAUUCAAACCAAGCUAAGCCUCAACGUUUUACUUUAGUACAAAUUUUUUUCGCGACGCCUUCACAACAAUACUGAGAAAGCUGCAGCAAAACCUGUCGUACGUCCUACUGUACAACUUGAAAAAUGCAAACAAAACACAUAAAAUAAGUGCAGUUUCCAUAAUUUUUUAAAAAGUUGGAACCAAAACUUGUUAUUCGUCAAUAACUAUUGGAACAAUAUUUUGAAAAAUACUUCCAUUUCAAAAUGGAUUGUGGAAAACCUAGAAAAUGGAUACAAUUUUGUAAUGGUCAACAUUUAAUAUCAACUCUUUUAAAAGAGACGCUUUCCUAAACAUCAAAACAUCGAAUUUAAAACAGCAAGGUGGUGUUUUAAUUUGGAAUCUGCACAAAAUAUAUCUAAGGCGGAUUGACUUUUCUAACCUUAACUAUUUCGCGGUUUAAUACCGCUAACUAAUCUGGACAAUAUCAACAGAAGAGCGUUUUAAGUAAAACAUACGCUAAACGAAUUCCAAACCAGAGAAUUUAGGCAAAAUACCUGCACCAUCAGCAGAAACUUCAUCUUGUCAUCGUAGUAGCUACAAACUGUCCCUACAUUCCGAAAUCACUACAUAGAAAACAUUACGUUGCGAUAGAAAAUUAUCUUAAUUUAAAGUCAUACUUGUGUAGAAAAGCCGUCCACGGGUAUAACGUCUUUUAAUAUUACCCUAACACAUUUCACUCGGAAAAGAUUUUGAUUAAGAUAGUUUUCCAUUGCACAAUUAAUUUUAGUUCUAAUGGUUUAAUAAUAAUUAUGUUAUUUAUUUCGUCAAUGUGUGUGUCUCGUAUUUUGUACCUAUAUUUUACAAUUUUUUGUAUCAGAAUCGCCAAACGGAUGUAAUAUUCAGGUUAAAGACGCAUGAACAACCCGUGGUUCUACAUGUUCUAUUAAGGUGUCAGUCUUCUAACAAAUAGCAACGCUGGAUUCAUUGUUCACGAUUUCACGACGCGCCUUUUUGUCUGCAUCUGUUCGGCGGUUCUAAUAUAAAAUAUUUUAAAAAAUUUAAAUGUAAUGUGCCAUGACACCUUUUAACCACUUACAGUCACAAUUAGCAAGAAACGACGUCAAGGCUGUUGUCCAUCGUCGAACAUUUUUCUCACUAUGCGUCCACUUCGUUUGCAUAACUAAAAUCAACAUUUUGUACCAAGCCAUAGUCCUCUUCAAGCGUGUAAGUGCCUUGUGGUUUAAAUUUGUUCAUAGCGUUUUAAUGCAUUUCACAAUGAUUUCCCAAAAAUGCACUCUUUUGACAAACUCACAAAGUUUGUUUCAGAGAGGAAGCGGGAAAUUUACUGCGACCAAAUACUGAAGAUGCUGAAAGCAUCCCAACUACGAAACUUUGUUUCUUCUUGCAAAUGGGUACACAGGUGAAAAAACACUUAACAAAACCAAAGCACGUAAUUGAAAUAGGUUUCCUUUUUGGGCUUGUUGAUACAAUGUGUAGAAAUCUGAAUUUGAGCAAAAAUACCGAUCUCGGACGGCAACCUUGUCGUAUUUUCUUACUUAAUCAUAGUUUUGUCAGUUUAUUAAAAACAGUAUCAUGACAUGUGAGCGAUAUUUUUACUUUGUAGUUGAAAUGUGUACAUAUAUUGUAGUUUACAAGUUUAUUACUAGUAAUGUGGCGGUGAUUACUCCAACCAAAGACUUCGAUAAACCUAUGUGUAUAAGGAGUAUAAUCAAAUCUGUACCUAUAUUGUAAAUAUGUAAAUAAUAAA